AACUAGUUUCCAGGUUUAUUGACCCCCCUACAGAACUAGUUUCCAGGUUUAUUGACCCCCCUACAGAACUAGUUUCCAGGUUUAUUGACCCUCCUACAGAACUAGUUUCCAGGUUUAUUGACCCUCCUACAGAACUAGUUUCCAGGUUUAUUGACCCUCCUACAGAACUAGUUUCCAGGUUUAUUGACCCUCCUACAGAACUAGUUUCCAGGUUUAUUGACCCUCCUACAGAACUAGUUUCCAGGUUUAUUGACCCUCCUACAGAACUAGUUUCCAGGUUUAUUGACCCUCCUACAGAACUAGUUUCCAGGUUUAUUGACCCUCCUACAGAACUAGUUUCCAGGUUUAUUGACCCUCCUACAUAACUAGUUUCUAGGUUUAUUGACCCUCCUACAGAACUAGUUUCCAGGUUUAUUGACCCUCCUACAUAACUAGUUUCUAGGUUUAUUGACCCUCCUACAGAACUAGUUUCCAGGUUUAUUGACCCC